UCGAACGAUAGAGAAACGCCAACUCCAAAAUCGAUUCUUAGUUAAUUCGAUUUUUCUUAGGGUUUCAAUUCAACUUUUCUUUUAUUUCUUCAUUGUCCCUAAAUCGAACAGAGAAAACCCAAAACAUUUUUUUUCGUCGUCGCUAAAUCGAAAAACACAAAAAACCCCAAAAUCAAUAAUACUUAGGGUUUCGAUUGAAAUCUUGGUUGAAACAUUUCACACCCAACCUAAAUUUAAUACUUAGGGUUUCAACUGAAAUCUCGGUAACUUUGUUUGUGCAAAUUCCAGUGAUUUGAAGAUUUGUCCCAUUUUCUGAAAUCUUGGUAAACUAAUACAUGAACAAUUCGUAAUUUGGGUUGACUGCUCAAUUGCUCUAUUCUCACCCGGGUUAGAAAGAAGGAAAAAUUGGUAUUUGGGGUUGACUGCUCAAUUGCUUUAUUCUCACCCGGGUUAUAAAGAAGGUUGGAUAAAAUCCAGUUAGACGACCAACUUUUUAUAACGAAAAUCGAAAAAAUAGCUUGCGAGACAGGUGCAAAACAACUUACAACGUACGAAGAAUGUUAUCAGAUAAAAGAAUGGAAGGGCAUGCGCGAUGUUAUACUAGUAUACAUAAUAAAAAGGCGUUAAAAGAUUUGUUUAGUUCCAUAUUUAUAUGGUAUCGCGUCGUGGCUAGUUUAGGGCCUAUAAAAGUUAUUUGAGGCCUACCAUUUUCUUCACCCACCUAGACAAAGGGGAUAAAGGGUGUCUAAAAUAGAUAAAGUACUAAGUUACCCUCACUAUUAAAAUUCAAUCCCAAAUUCUAUCCUUUUAAAUUUGAAACCUAUUCAAA